AACGCACAUUGCGCCCCUUGGUAUUCCGAGGGGCAUGCCUGUUCGAGCGUCAUUAAAACCCCUCAAGCCUGGCUUGGUGUUGGGGCCCGCGGUUUCGCGGCCCUUAAAAUCAGUGGCGGUGCCGUCUGGCUCUAAGCGUAGUAAUGCUCUCGCUAUAGGGUCCUCUCGGUGGCUGCCAGAACCCCCCACUUCUAAGUUUGACCUCGGAUCAGGUAGGGAUACCCGCUGAACUUAA
rnacentral:misc_RNA from 1 species